rnacentral:rRNA from 1 species
UUGGAGGUUGUGGCCUUGAGCCGUGGCUUUCGGAGCUAACGCGUUAAGUAGACCGCCUGGGGAGUACGGUCGCAAGAUUAAAACUCAAAUGAAUUGACGGGGGCCCGCACAAGCGGUGGAGCAUGUGGUUUAAUUCGAUGCAACGCGAAGAACCUUACCUACUCUUGACAUCCAGAGAACUUUCCAGAGAUGGAUUGGUGCCUUCGGGAACUCUGAGACAGGUGCUGCAUGGCUGUCGUCAGCUCGUGUUGUGAAAUGUUGGGUUAAGUCCCGCAACGAGCGCAACCCUUAUCCUUGUUUGCCAGCGAGUAAUGUCGGGAACUCCAGGGAGACUGCCGGUGAUAAACCGGAGGAAGGUGGGGACGACGUCAAGUCAUCAUGGCCCUUACGAGUAGGGCUACACACGUGCUACAAUGGCGCAUACAGAGGGC